UCUUUUCAAAAGAAAAGUCCCGUUUGAUGCCAUCAAAGGAAACACUGCGUUGAACAUUUGUAUGUUUUUCAGUUUUCGAUACCGCAAGUCAAUGGGUGGUAUACUUGGUUUUUUCCAGAUUCUGAGUAUGACCUGUUAUACUCAAAAGAUCUGAAACACUUAAAGUGAUGUGAACUGCUUCAUCGUGUGAGUUCUUGAAACAUAUUUAAAGGAAGCAUGAAGGAGAUAAAACACAACAGGGGGAAAGCAGGUCAAGGAGGAAGAAGAACACGGCGGGACAGAUGGAGGGAAGAAGAGAUGUCACUCUUCAGGGGUCAAACCCAGACUGAAUGGCAAUUGAGUGGCUGUAAAGAAACCCGUUUCGAGUGCCCUCCGUCAGGCCUGAGCCAUGGAGCCGGUUGCCUAGGAGACACAUCACCUUCCACCAUGCGGGACGACGGCUCCCGCAGAUCAACCCAUUCAUUCCUGUGACGUGAGCAGCGGCGAUAACGUUGACGCCAGUGCACCGUGAGCCCGUGUGGCUUCCUGGCGGAGGAGAGCUUCGUCUUUACAGCCGCUUUGUUGCUCCCGUCUCCUUGGCAACGCUCCACAGGUUAUCUUGAACAUAUAGACUCCGACCAUAAUAGAGUCCACCGCUCAGCAUGUUAGUGCCAACCG
ensembl:lncRNA